rnacentral:rRNA from 1 species
AGCGAACGCUGGCGGCAGGCUUAACACAUGCAAGUCGAACGGGCGUAGCAAUACGUCAGUGGCAGAUGGGUGAGUAACGCGUGGGAACGUACCUUUUGGUUCGGAACAACCCAGGGAAACUUGGGCUAAUACCGGAUAAGCCCUUACGGGGAAAGAUUUAUCGCCGAAAGAUCGGCCCGCGUCUGAUUAGCUAGUUGGUGUGGUAACGGCGCACCAAGGCGACGAUCAGUAGCUGGUCUGAGAGGAUGAUCAGCCACAUUGGGACUGAGACACGGCCAAACUCCUACGGGAGGCAGCAGUGGGGAAUAUUGGACAAUGGGCGCAAGCCUGAUCCAGCCAUGCCGCGUGAGUGAUGAAGGCCCUAGGGUUGUAAAGCUCUUUUGUGCGGGAAGAUAAUGACGGUACCGCAAGAAUAAGCCCCGGCUAACUUCGUGCC